GAUGAACGCUGGCGGCGUGCUUAACACAUGCAAGUCGAACGGAGCACCCCUGAAGGAGUUUUCGGACAACGGAAGGGAAUGCUUAGUGGCGGACUGGUGAGUAACGCGUGAGGAACCUGCCUUUCGGAGGGGGACAACAGUUGGAAACGACUGCUAAUACCGCAUGAUACGUCGAAGUCGCAUGACUUUGACGUCAAAGAUUUAUCGCCGAAAGAUGGCCUCGCAUCUGAUUAGCUAGUUGGUGAGGUAACGGCCCACCAAGGCGACGAUCAGUAGCCGGACUGAGAGGUUGGCCGGCCACAUUGGGACUGAGAUACGGCCCAG
rnacentral:rRNA from 1 species